rnacentral:rRNA from 1 species
AUUGAACGCUGGCGGCAGGCUUAACACAUGCAAGUCGAGCGGAGAGAAGUAGCUUGCUACUGAUCUUAGCGGCGGACGGGUGAGUAAUGCUUAGGAAUCUGCCUAUUAGUGGGGGACAACAUUUCGAAAGGAAUGCUAAUACCGCAUACGUCCUACGGGAGAAAGCAGGGGAUCUUCGGACCUUGCGCUAAUAGAUGAGCCUAAGUCGGAUUAGCUAGUUGGUGGGGUAAAGGCCUACCAAGGCGACGAUCUGUAGCGGGUCUGAGAGGAUGAUCCGCCACACUGGGACUGAGACACGGCCCAGACUCCUGCGGGAGGCAGCAGUGGGGAAUAUUGGACAAUGGGCGGAAGCCUGAUCCAGCCAUGCCGCGUGUGUGAAGAAGGCCUUAUGGUUGUAAAGCACUUUAAGCGAGGAGGAGGCUACUUUAGUUAAUACCUAGAGAUAGUGGACGUUACUCGCAGAAUAAGCACCGGCUAACUCUGUGCCAGCCGCCGCUGUAAAAC